AUGAACGCUGGCGGCGUGCCUAAUACCUGCAAGUCGAGCGAACGGACGAGAAGCUUGCUUCUCUGAUGUUAGCGGCGGACGGGUGAGUAACACGUGGAUAACCUACCUAUAAGACUGGGAUAACUUCGGGAAACCGGAGCUAAUACCGGAUGAUAUUUUGAACCGCAUGGUUCAAAAGUGAAAGACGGUCUUGCUGUCACUUAUAGAUGGAUACGCGCUGCAUUAGCUAGUUGGUAAGGUAACGGCUUACCAAGGCAACGAUGCAUAGCCGACCUGAGAGGGUGAUCGGCCACACUGGAACUGAGACACGGUCCAGACUCCUACGGGAGGCAGCAGUAGGGAAUCUUCCGCAAUGGGCGAAAGCCUGACGGAGCAACGCCGCGUGAGUGAUGAAGGUCUUCGGAUCGUAAAACUCUGUUAUUAGGGAAGAACAUAUGUGUAAGUAACUGUGCACAUCUUGACGGUACCUAAUCAGAAAGCCACGGCUAACUACGUG
rnacentral:rRNA from 1 species